rnacentral:tRNA from 1 species
CGUCGGCUCGAUCACGGUCGGUUGGGUCGCCGAGGAGCUGAGCUUCGGCUGGGGUUUCGGCAUCAGCGGAAUCGUUCUGUUGAUCGCCGCCGCC